rnacentral:rRNA from 1 species
GACGAACGCUGCGGCGUGCUUAACACAUGCAAGUCGAGCGAUGAAGCACCUUCGGGUGUGAAUUAGCGGCGAACGGGUGAGGAACACGUGAAGAAUCUGCCUUCAACUCUGGGAUAACUCCGGGAAACCGGGGCUAAUACCGGAUAUGAGCCUUGAUCGCAUGAUCGGGGCUGGAAAGUUUUUCGGUUGAAGAUGACUUCGCGGCCUAUCAGCUUGUUGGUGAGGUAAUGGCUCACCAAGGCGACGACGGGUAGCCGGCCUGAGAGGGCGACCGGCCACACUGGGACUGAGACACGGCCCAGACUCCUACGGGAGGCAGCAGUGGGGAAUAUUGGGCAAUGGAGGAAACUCUGACCCAGCGACGCCGCGUGAGGGAUGAAGGCCUUCGGGUUGUAAACCUCUUUCAGUAGGGAAGAAGCGAAAGUGACGGUACCUACAGA